UAUGCCAUCACAACCCCUUUCCCUGUCUACCUCGUUCCGCAUCAUGAAUUCCGUGCUCACUGCAACUCCUCAGGGGCUUGACAUCUGUCACUACGACGGUACUGCUCUUUCGGUGCCAGUGUCAGGGCUAAAAGGGCCUUCGGAAAUUAUCCAAUGGUUUCUACACUGACAUCCGUGCCGAAGUCACCAGGCCACACGAAUGGAUUGAAUGAAGGGGCUCCGAGCCCUCAGCCCCACCUCUUCCACCAUUUAUACAGAAAGUUCUCAUUCAGUGGGAAACCCAUCCCGUGUAUUCUGCACAAGACACUCUUCCCACAUAGCUAAAGAGGCAAACAUAUGUCCCAGGACUUGUCUCCAUGUCCCAGGAAGAUGAAGACCACCAUAAAGGGGCACUUGAGUUGGUGAUUCUGGGUCUUACUGUGAUUUACUGAUAACCUGGCUCUCUGAAGAAAAAAGUUCCGAUUUGCAGAGCUUGCCAACUUCCAUGUGUG